rnacentral:misc_RNA from 1 species
GUGAAUCAUCGAAUUUUUGAACGCAAAUUGCACUCUCUUCGGAGAGUAUGCCUGUUUGAGGGUCAGCCUAAAAAAAACCGCAAUCGUUGUUGUUUCGCGGUGGCGUUCGCCGGGAAUUGGGUUAUCUUAAUUCUUUGGUUUAAGCGCCUUAAAUUUUCCUUACCGUUCCAAUGAAGGUUCUCAAGUUUUAUUUCUUUACACGUUAA